AUGAGGCAUCUGUUCUCUGAUGAGUAUAGUAUUGCAGUAUUCACAGAUGACAUUUGCCAAAGGACAGUUCUGGUCCACGGAUCUCAAGAUGCCUCAGUUCCAUCUUGUGCAAACAACCUUCAUUUGGACACUUCACCAUCGGAGAAAGAAUCUCACGUUUUGCAAAACUGUCUGGAAAUAGUUUAUUUUCCAGCAGUACUUCAUUGUCAACUGGACAUUUGUGACCUGCAUCCCUUAUUGAUUUUAUGAUACAGGCUUUGCGGAACCUAUGGCCUCAUGGCGUUUGCACUGUUUCUCGUAAUGCCGUCAAGCAGAUGGGGCAUUCAUACUUGCUUUCCAGGGGUGGGUCAAACUCUACAUCAUAUCCCUGGAUCUCCUCCAUAAAGGAACUGGAGAGGUUCCCCGUGCUGGCAGUUCCACCCACACUAUCAUCUUUUGUUGCAGCGCUACAGGAGCUGGCCAUGGCCACACAGUAGUCACUUUCAGACUGGCUGGAUCCACAGCCGUUUUCACAGUUUAGCAGACUCAUAGUAACUUGAUUAUCACAUGCUUGCUCAAGUGCACUGGGCGGCAGAACCAGGCGGGCAGGGAUCCCCGCCAGCCACACGACUCUGAUCAGCCAAGGGCUGAUAGAGGAUGGACAUAGACACUACGCUCCGAGAGGAGGCUGCUUGGACCUCAAACUCUGGGGUCAAAGUGUGCCAUCGCCACCUCCGAGGGCCGCUGGCAGGCCAGUCCCCAGCUGCGGACGCCAUUGCUUCCACCUUCUGUAAUUUCUCCCAUUUUAAAACAUUUUUUCUCACUACACCCUGUGAGAAAGAUUCCAGUCUUCACUUUGCAAAUGAGAAAACUGAAGAAAAGACAGGUGAAGUGAUUUAGUUGAGCUUGUACCACUAGCCAAUGAAUAAGACUCUGAUGCCCUGUUUGAACUAAAUCCAGUAUUGUUUCUUCACUUGUCUGAUAGUAUAUUCUACUCUUCAGUGCAAACGAAUACCAUUUUUUAAUGGAAAAUGAAAAAUUAUUCUUCA
rnacentral:lncRNA from 1 species